rnacentral:rRNA from 1 species
AUGAACGCUAGCGACAGGCUUAACACAUGCAAGUCGAGGGGCAGCACGGGAGUAGCAAUACAACUGGUGGCGACCGGCGCACGGGUGAGUAACGCGUAUGCAACCUACCUAUCAGAGGGGAAUAACCCGGCGAAAGUCGGACUAAUACCGCAUAAAACAGGGGCACCGCAUGGUGAUAUUUGUUAAAGAGAUUCGCUGAUAGAUGGGCAUGCGUUCCAUUAGGUAGUUGGUGAGGUAACGGCUCACCAAGCCGACGAUGGAUAGGGAACUGAGAGGUUGGUCCCCCACACUGGUACUGAGACACGGACCAGACUCCUACGGGAGGCAGCAGUGAGGAAUAUUGGUCAAUGGGCGGGAGCCUGAACCAGCCAAGUCGCCGUGAAGGAAGAAGGAUCUAUGGUUCGUAAACUUCUUUUGCAGGGGAAUAAAGUGCAGGACGUGUCCUGUUUUGUAUGUACCCUGAGAAUAAGGAUCGGCUAACUCCGUGCCAGCCGCGGC